rnacentral:lncRNA from 10 species
CUUAUAUACCCUUAUAUAACUUGUUUAGAAUUUAGCCAUGUGCAUUUUUAAACUGUGUUUGUCAACAUUAAGCCUCAGUACAGUCUCCAAAUUAUAUGCCACCAGAAAUGAAAUUCAGCAAAGGACAGGAUUGUUUUUAACAUACGCAAGCCAGCCUGGCCAACAUGGUGAAACCUUGUCUCUACUAAAAAUACAAAAAUUAGCUGGGCGUGGUGGUGGGCACCUGUAAUCCCAGCUACUUGGGUGGCUGAGGCACAAGAAUCGCUUCAACCUGGAAGCCGAAGGUUGCAGUGGGCUGAGAUUGUGCCACUGCACUCCAGCCUGGGCAACAGAGCGAGACUCUGUCUCAAAAAAAAAAAAAAAAAAAAACCCACCAAACCAAAAAUAUACUAUGCAAGGAAUAAUUCUAGAAGACAUUACAUAAUGCAAUACUUGCAACAUUUGCAACUAAUUUUCCCAUAGGGAUAAAUGGAAAUUUCAACUUAUUUCAAAUUUUGCACAUAUUAUGAAACCUUAUUAAUGUAUUUUUAUCAAACUAAAUCAGAUUUGUAUUUGAAUUGUUAGGAAAAACCAUGUGCAGUUUUGGCUGAUAAUUGAAGGAAAAAUAUCAAAUGCUUUGAAUUUUUUUUCUCUUUUUUCAAACCCUCUGCAGAGGUAGGAAGGUAUGAAUUUCUUUUUUAUGUCAAGAUGCAAAAACAAAUCAUGAUGCUUUUGUUGGGAGAAUUUUUGUAUUCAGUAUUUUGUAUGUACCUUUUUUUUUUUAAAUUGGAAAGCACAAUUCGGUUUAACAUUUAGCUUUGCUUGACUCCAGUGUAAGAUGAAGAUGACCUUGUCACAGCUCCCCUGACCUGAAGCAGAGCCCUUCCCAUCACUGACAGUGUUGGGGGUUGAGAGCCCCCCAGCAGAGCCCUUCCCAUCACUGACAGUGUGUCGGCAGCUGAGAGCUCCCCCAGCAGAGCCCUUCCCAUCACUGAACAGUGUUGGCGGCUGAGAGCCCCCCAGCAGAGCCCUUCCCAUCACUGACAGUGUUGGGGGCUGAGAGCCCCCCAGCAGAGCCCUUCCCAUCACUGAACAGUGUUGGCGGCUGAGAGCCCCCCAGCAGAGCCCUUCCCAUCACUGACAGUGUUGGGGGCUGAGAGCCCCCCUAGCAGAGCCCUUCCCAUCACUGACAGUGUCUGGGGCUGAGAGCCCCCCCUAGCAGAGCCCUUCCCAUCACUGACAGUGUUGGGGGCUGAGAGCCCCCCAGCAGAGCCCUUCCCAUCACUGACAGUGUCUGGGGCUGAGAGCCCCCCAGCAGAGCCCUUCCCAUCACUGACAGUGUCUGGGGCUGAGAGCCCCCCCUAGCAGAGCCCUUCCCAUCACUGACAGUGUCGGGUUGAGAGCCACCCCCAGCAGAGCCCUUGCCACGUACAGAGAUUUUCUGUCAGCAGUUUCCCAGUAUUUCAGACUCAUAAUCUGUGUUUAGCACUCCAGUGUUCUCUUGUAAUAGCCAGGUCUGGAAACGACCCAUGGAAAGAGGGGCCUUUGUAUUCUGCUAGAACACAGAGCAUAGUAGUAGAUCACUUUUCUGAAGAGCUUUUUAAAAUACAGCUAAUCAAGGAGUUUGCGAUUUCUCUUACUUUCUACAGCUCAGCAGUGACUAAUGAUGUGUGACUAUGCGAAUGAGUUUGAUGAAUUCGUAAAAACUAAGCGCUUAAAUGGUUAUAGAAAUGAAAACAUGGAUAUUUAGAAGCCUUUCUAUAUACACAGUGCAGUUGAGAUGGUUUACAGCAAAUUUCGUUUUAUUUCUGAAAAUGUUGUAAACAUGUAAUUAGUGAAAGAUUUUGUAAAACAUUGUCCUGUAUUUUUGUCUGUAAAUAUAUUGCAUAAGUUCUAAGUAUAAAUAUGUCAGUAUCAUGUAUGUUAUUUUAAAUUGCCUGUACGCCACUUUACACAUUGACAUUCAAAUAAAAGCCAACACUUCAGUGGCGUGUAAU